rnacentral:rRNA from 1 species
AGUGAACGCUGGCGGUAGGCCUAACACAUGCAAGUCGAACGGCAGCACAGUAAGAGCUUGCUCUUACGGGUGGCGAGUGGCGGACGGGUGAGGAAUACAUCGGAAUCUACUUUUUCGUGGGGGAUAACGUAGGGAAACUUACGCUAAUACCGCAUACGACCUACGGGUGAAAGCAGGGGAUCUUCGGACCUUGCGCGAUUGAAUGAGCCGAUGUCAGAUUAGCUAGUUGGCGGGGUAAAGGCCCACCAAGGCGACGAUCCGUAGCUGGUCUGAGAGGAUGAUCAGCCACACUGGAACUGAGACACGGUCCAGACUCCUACGGGAGGCAGCAGUGGGGAAUAUUGGACAAUGGGCGCAAGCCUGAUCCAGCCAUACCUCGUGGGUGAAGAAGGCCUUCGGGUUGUAAAGCCCUUUUGUUGGGAAAGAAAAGCAGCAGGUUAAUACCCCGCUGUUCUGACGGUACCCAAAGAAUAAGCACCGGCUAACUUCGUG